UACGUAGGGGGCAAGCGUUGUCCGGAUUUAUUGGGCGUAAAGAGCGUGUAGGCGGCCAUGCAGGUCCGCUGUGAAAACUCGAGGCUCAACCUCGAGACGUCGGUGGAAACCGUAUGGCUAGAGUCCGGAAGAGGAGAGUGGAAUUCCCGGUGUAGCGGUGAAAUGCGCAGAUAUCGGGAAGAACACCCGUGGCGAAGGCGGCUCUCUGGGACGGUACUGACGCUGAGGCGCGAAAGCGUGGGGAGCAAACAGG
rnacentral:rRNA from 1 species